rnacentral:rRNA from 1 species
CACGGCGGGUGCUAACGUCCGUCGUGAAGAGGGAAACAACCCAGACCGCCAGCUAAGGUCCCAAAGUCAUGGUUAAGUGGGAAACGAUGUGGGAAGGCCCAGACAGCCAGGAUGUUGGCUUAGAAGCAGCCAUCAUUUAAAGAAAGCGUAAUAGCUCACUGGUCGAGUCGGCCUGCGCGGAAGAUGUAACGGGGCUAAACCAUGCACCGAAGCUGCGGCAGCGACACUAUGUGUUGUUGGGUAGGGGAGCGUUCUGUAAGCCUGCGAAGGUGGCCUGUGAGGGUUGCUGGAGGUAUCAGAAGUGCGAAUGCUGACAUAAGUAACGAUAAAGCGGGUGAAAAGCCCGCUCGCCGGAAGACCAAGGGUUCCUGUCCAACGUUAAUCGGGGCAGGGUGAGUCGACCCCUAAGGCGAGGCCGAAAGGCGUAGUCGAUGGGAAACGGGUUAAUAUUCCCGUACUUGGUGUUACUGCGAAGGGGGGACGGAGAAGGCUAUGUUGGCCGGGCGACGGUUGUCCCGGUUUAAGCGUGUAGGUGUGUGUUCCAGGUAAAUCCGGUUCACUUUAACACUGAGGCGUGACGACGAGGCACUACGGUGCUGAAGCAACAAAUGCCCUGCUUCCAGGAAAAGCCUCUAAGCAUCAGGUAACAUCAAAUCGUACCCCAAACCGACACAGGUGGUCAGGUAGAGAAUACCAAGGCGCUUGAGAGAACUCGGGUGAAGGAACUAGGCAAAAUGGUGCCGUAACUUCGGGAGAAGGCACGCUGACACGUAGGUGAAGUGAUUUACUCACGGAGCUGAAGUCAGUCGAAGAUACCAGCUGGCUGCAACUGUUUAUUAAAAACACAGCACUGUGCAAACACGA